GGCAAGAUGGCCGAGCGGUCCAAGGCGCCACGUUAAGGAAUUACAAAUCCCUUCAUUCACGAUCUCGAGCCAAGCUCGUCGUCAAUUGAUUCCGUGGUCCGAAAGGGCGUGGGUUCGAAUCUCACUCCUGUCA